UACGUAGGUGGCAAGCGUUGUCCGGAAUUAUUGGGCGUAAAGCGCGCGCAGGCGGCCUCUUAAGUCUGAUGUGAAAGCCCCCGGCUCAACCGGGGAGGGCCAUUGGAAACUGGUAGGCUUGAGUAUAGGGAGAGAAGAGUGGAACUCCACGUGUAGCGGUGAAAUGCGUAGAGAUGUGGAGGAACACCAGUGGCGAAGGCGACUCUUUGGCCUAUAACUGACGCUGAGGCGCGAAAGCGUGGGGAGCAAACAGG
rnacentral:rRNA from 1 species